UUAGGAAUCUUCCACAAUGGGCGAAAGCCUGAUGGAGCGACGCCGCGUGAGGGAUGAAGGCCUUAGGGUUGUAAACCUCUAAAAGAGGGACGAUAAUGACGGUACCUCUUGAAUAGCACCGGCUAACUCCGUGCCAGCAGCCGCGGUAAUACGGAGGGUGCAAGCGUUAUCCGGAAUCACUGGGCGUAAGGGCGCGUAGGCGGUCUGUUAAGUCCGAUGUUAAAUCCCGGGGCUCAACCCCGGAUAAGCGUUGGAUACUGGCAGGCUAGACGGUUGGAGAGGCGAGUGGAAUUACCAGUGUAGCGGUGGAAUACGUAGAUACUGGUAGGAACACCCAUUGCGAAGGCAGCUCGCUGGACAACACGUGACGCUGAGGCGCGAAAGUGUGGGGAGCAAACC
rnacentral:rRNA from 1 species